rnacentral:rRNA from 1 species
GCGUAACACGUGAGCAACCUACCUAGGUGUGGGGGAUAGCCGGCCCAACGGCCGGGUAAUACCGCAUACGCUCUUCUUUAGGCAUUUAGAGGAGAGGAAACCUUCGGGGCACUAUGAGGGGCUCGCGGCCUAUCAGCUAGUUGGCGAGGUAAUGGCUCACCAAGGCGACGACGGGUAGCUGGUCUGAGAGGAUGGCCAGCCACAUUGGGACUGAGAAACGGCCCAG